CGGACGGGUGAGUAACGCGUAAAGAACUUGCCCUUUAGACUGGGAUAACAGAGGGAAACUUCUGAUAAUACUGGAUAAGUUAGUAUAUCGCAUGAUAUGCAAAUGAAAGCUACGGCACUAAAGGAGAGCUUUGCGUCCUAUUAGCUAGUUGGUAAGGUAAGAGCUUACCAAGGCGAUGAUAGGUAGCCGGCCUGAGAGGGUGGACGGCCACAAGGGGACUGAGAUACGGCCCUUACUCCUACGGGAGGCAGCAGUA
rnacentral:rRNA from 1 species